rnacentral:rRNA from 1 species
AUGGCUCAGGACGACGCUGGCGGUGUGCUUCACACAUGCAAGUCGAACGAGGUAGCAAUACCUAGUGGCGGACGGGUGAGUAACGCGUGGGAAUCUGCCUUGAGAUGGGGAUAACGAGCCGAAAGGCUCGCUAAUACCGCAUAUGCCGAAAGGUGAAAGGAGUAAUCCGUCUUAAGAUGAGCCCGCGUCCGAUUAGCUAGUUGGUGGGUAAAGGCCUACCAAGGCGACGAUCGGUAGCUGGUCUGAGAGGAUGAUCAGCCACAAUGGGACUGAGACACGGCCCAUACUCCUACGGGAGGCAGCAGUGGGGAAUUUUACGCAAUGGGGGAAACCCUGACGUAGCGACACCGCGUGAGCGAAGAAGCCCUUUGGGGUGUAAAGCUCUGUCAGCUGGAACGAAAAAAAUGACGGUACCAGCAGAGGAAGCAUCGGCUAACUACGUG